rnacentral:rRNA from 1 species
AUACGGAGGGGGCUAGCGUUGUUCGGAAUUACUGGGCGUAAAGCGUACGUAGGCGGACUGAUCAGUUGGGGGUGAAAUCCCAGGGCUUAACCCUGGAACUGCCUUCAAUACUGUCAGUCUUGAGAUUGGAAGAGGUGAGUGGAAUUCCUAGUGUAGAGGUGAAAUUCAUGGAUAUUAGGAGGAACACCAGUGGCGAAGGCGGCUCACUGGUCCAAUACUGACGCUGAGGUACGAAAGCGUGGGGAGCAAACAGGAUUAGAUACCCUAGUAGUCC